AUACACUGCUACAUACAAAGUAACUGAUCAGAGCACAACUUUUCAGUAUUCAAAACAGAAUAAGCUUCCCUGUAAAAGCAGCACCUUUGUGACAUUUUUAACUUUAGUUUUCCUCUCCUUCCUCUUCACCCUCUCCUUCAACAGAAUCCACACUAACCUCCUCAUAAUCCUCAAGGGCAGCCAUGUCCUCAUGGGCCUCAGAAAACUUUCUUUUCCUGCAUGCCCUCACCCACAUACCAGUGAACAAAGGCACGCUUGGCAUACAUCAGGUCAAACUUGUGGUCCAGGCGAGCCCAGGCCUCAGCAAUGGCUGCGGUGUUGCUCAGCAUGCACACAGCUCGCUGUACUUUGGCCAGGUCUCCACCAGGUACCACAGUGGGAGGCUGGUAAUUAAUACCAACUUUGAAGCCAGUGGGACACCAGUCCACAAACUGGAUGGUACGCUUGAUCUUGAUGGUGGCAAUGGCAGCACUGACAUCUUUGGGAACCACAUCACCACAGUACAACAGGCAGCAAGCCAUGUAUUUACGAUGGCAAGGGUCACAUUUCACCAUCUGGUUGGCUGGCUCAAAGGAUGCAUUGGUGAUCUCUGCUACAGAAAGCUGUUCACGGUAGGCUUUCUCAGCAGAGAUGACAGGGGCAUAUGUGGCCAGAGGGAGGUGGAUGCA
rnacentral:lncRNA from 1 species